UAUUUUCCAUAUGUGGCAAGGGAAAAUGCAGCUCGGUGGUUCCUGACUAAAUUUUAUUUUGCUUUCACUUUCUGCCAUUUUCAGUUCCUGUUGCUGCACUCUGAGACUCACUGAAGUGCAGCAAUACUAGUCUUUGGCCGGUGCUACAAGGGACAAGGUUGGCCUGCAGCCAGGCAGCAGGAGACAUUAUUAACGCAGCUUCCACACAGUUCCCGCUCAGGAACCUCUGCAAAGAAACGAAUAACCCUGGAUCGGUGCUACUAAGCACUGUUUGAAAAUGCUUCACUGCAAAAGAGUGGCAAGGAUUUUACAAGAGCUAUGAAAAAAUCCCACUGCACCAAAUGGCCCUUCCCAUUUAUUCAGCUUGCUCUGAUGAGAAAGACAUCUACUUGCCGCCACAUGAAGGGGCACCUUGCUGUCACUCACUGUGCAUGCACCUCCUGCUGUCCUCACACCAUCAGUGGGCCUGACACCGUGUACAGCCAGCCAGAAACUGGGGAGGCCAAACAAGGACGGCAGCAGAGCCAGCAGGCCAGCACAGCCCGCUCCCUCCCAAGGCUUCUGGGAAGCAGUGAAGGUUAGUAGUGAAGGUUCUAGUCCUGGCUUCGGCAUGUACCAUCUCCAGAGCCUUGAAAAAGCCAUGAGCUCUCUGAGCUAUAUUUUCAUCAUUUGAAAAAUGGGAACUAAAGUCACCUACACCACUCAUUGUGUUGCAAGGACCAAGGAGAUGAUUUGUGCAAAAUGCUGUUUUUAAAUACGUGGCCCUGCAGCACGGAGGCAUACAACUGUGGUAAACUGUGGAAUGAGGAGCAAUGUUACACAAGAAGCUGUUUAAGUGAGACUUUGGGAAACAAGGAAGAUUUUGUGUGAGAAGUGAAAUCUAAAUUGGAAAGUUAAACAGCAAAUAAACAACAAAUUGUUAAGUCAUUAUCUUUUAGGUCUCAGCUAAAGUGUUCCCCUGUUAGAGGCCUUUUCUGAUAGCCUUAUCCAAAGUACCCAGCAAACUUUACACUCUCCAUAAUAGUACCCUACGUAACCCUUUCUAGUACUUUAUUUUAAACUUAAAGUAAGUCUGGCUAGAACUACAGUACUGUGGUUCAAAUCCCAGCUCCGCUACUUUCAUAUUAUAUAAUCUUUAAUAUGUUACUUAGUCUCUCUAUGUCUCAGUUCCUUAACAAGACUGCUAAUUAAACAAGGUAUUUAAGUUUGGCUGGCUAAAUUGUGAUCAUGAGACAGAAAGGGAAAAGGUAGUAGGAACUAGUUCAAUGUCAGUGCCAGAAUCAGCAGGUAAAUUCAGAUAAGAGGAAAAGUACAGGUAACACUGCAGACAGGAGAGGAAGAAAAGCCAAAGGAAAGUUCUAGUGAAAUACGUACUUUUAUAUAAAUAUAUAUCCCUACAUAGCCAUAUGAUUAUAAUGUAUUUUUAUUACAUAUAAAAAGAGUGAGAGGAGACACACACAGAAAUAUAUAUAUAUAUAUAUAUAUAUAUAUAUAUAUAGAGAGAGAGAGAGAGAGAGAGAGAGAGACAGAGACAGAGACAGAGAGACAGAGAGAGAGACAGAGAUAGAGACAGAAACAGAGAAACAGCCAGAAAAUGUAUACAUACUUCUGAAGUUUGUUGUACUAAUGUCUGGAAGCUAAUGACCACCACUUUAAGCACCUCUUAUAAUUGUACAGGUUAAAGGUAACUUACGUUAAUCUCAUGAUGUCUCAAUAAAUUUACUACUAAUAUAUUUAUACAAGUUUUUCUUUUCAUGAUGUGUGUAUAUAUAUAUAUAUAUAUAUUUUUUUUUUUUUUGGUGGACUCUAUAUAUGUGACCAGUUAAAUGUGCAAAGCAAAGAAAAAAAAUGAU